GCCGUCGUCGACCAGUGGAAGGUCGUACUCAAAGUGUCGGUACCAUCUGCGUUUGGGCAUCCGAGGAAGACAGGGGUUCGAUUCCCCUCGGCGGAA